CUACGGGGUGCAGCAGUGGGGAAUAUUGGACAAUGGGGGAAACCCUGAUCCAGCAAUGCCGCGUGUGUGAAGAAGGCCUGCGGGUUGUAAAGCACUUUCGGUUGGGAGGACUGCUUCUAGCACUAAUAUUGUUGGAAGUUGACGUUACCUUCAGAAGAAGCACCGGCUAACUCCGUGCCAGCAGCCGCGGUAAUACGGUGGGUGCAAGCGUUAAUCGGAAUUACUGGGCGUAAAGCGCGCGUAGGCGGCUAGAUCAGUCGGGUGUGAAAGCCCCGGGCUUAACCUGGGAACUGCAUCCGAUACUGUCUAGCUUGAGUACAGGAGAGGAGAGUGGAAUUCCACAUGUAGCGGUGAAAUGCGUAGAUAUGUGGAGGAACACCAAUGGCGAAGGCAGCUCUCUGGUCUGAUACUGACGCUGGGGUGCGAAAGCGUGGGGAGCAAACAGGAUUAGAUACCCUCGUAGUC
rnacentral:rRNA from 1 species